GACGAACGCUGGCGGCGUGCUUAACACAUGCAAGUCGAACGGGUCUGCCCUGUUUUUUGCGGGGUGGGUCAGUGGCGAACGGGUGAGUAACACGUGAGUAACCUGCCCCUCACUUCUGGAUAACCGCUUGAAAGGGUGGCUAAUACGGGGUGUUCUGGCUGUGCCGCAUGGUGUGGCUGGGAAAGAUUCACUUUUGUGGUGUUUUGGUGGGGGAUGGGCUCGCGGCCUAUCAGCUUGUUGGUGGGGUGAUGGCCUGCCAAGGCUUUGACGGGUAGCCGGCCUGAGAGGGUGGGCGGUAACACUGGGAAUGAGAUACGGCCCAGACUCCUGCGGGAGGCAGCAGUGGGGGGUAUUGCACAAUGGGCGGAAGCCUGAUGCAGCGACGUCGCGUGAGGGAUGGAGGCCUUCGGGUUGUGAACCUCUUUCGCCGGUGAAGAAGGUCCUGCUCUUUGUGGUGGGGUUGACGGUAGCCGGGUUAUGAAGCGCCGGCUAACUACGUG
rnacentral:rRNA from 1 species